rnacentral:ncRNA from 2 species
ACUAUAUCUAGUGUUCAAGGUUCUUCCGAUUCGUGUCGGAAGCUAAGACGGGAAUACGGUGCGUGAGGCCCAUGACGGGCUGAGUAAUGCCGGAGCUGCCCCCGCAACUGUAAGCGGCGAGCAUUCGAUCGAUACGUCCACUGAUGUCUUGAGGGCAUUGGGAAGGCAGGUUGAAUGUGACGACCCGCAAGCCAGGAGACCUGCCUUGCAACGAAAACGUCC